rnacentral:rRNA from 1 species
AUUGAACGCUGGCGGCAGGCCUAACACAUGCAAGUCGAGCGGAUGAAGGGAGCUUGCUCCUGGAUUCGGCGGCGGACGGGUGAGUAAUGCCUAGGAAUCUGCCUGGUAGUGGGGGAUAACGUCCGGAAACGGGCGCUAAUACCGCAUACGUCCUGAGGGAGAAAGUGGGGGAUCCUCGGACCUCACGCUAUCAGAUGAGCCUAGGUCGGAUUAGCUAGUUGGUGGGGUAAAGGCCUACCAAGGCGACGAUCCGUAACUGGUCUGAGAGGAUGAUCAGUCACACUGGAACUGAGACACGGUCCAGACUCCUACGGGAGGCAGCAGUGGGGAAUAUUGGACAAUGGGCGAAAGCCUGAUCCAGCCAUGCCGCGUGUGUGAAGAAGGUCUUCGGAUUGUAAAGCACUUUAAGUUGGGAGGAAGAGCAGUAAGUUAAUACCUUGCUGUUUUGACGGUACCCACAGAAUAAGCACCGGCUAACUUCGUG